UUUCACUUUAGUAGUAUCAUUGGUGUAAUUUGCCUUGUACCUACAUUCAAUUCACAUUCAAGCACAACUUACAUUUUCUCUAAUUCCUAUCUUAAAGCAAUUUUAUCAUCUCCAUUUUUAUCAAUAGAAUGCACUGUUUGGGCUGUUACAAUUAUUUUGAUUUUCCCACUAGAUUACUGUGGCAUUUAAGGACAUUUUCAUUUUGUCGGAUUGCAUUUAAAAAGUUAACUAACGGAAUGCCCAUUAUCAGCUCAUUAUUUUUUCGGGCUUUUUUUUUCUGUUUGUUUGUUUGUUUGUUUGUUUGGGGUUUUUUUGGAGUUUUUGGAGGGGUUUUUGGAGUUUUUUGGAUCCUUUCCUGAAGCGCCUCAAAUUCAUCAUUUGCUUCAUCAUUACUUUCAGUAUUGUAAAAAUCAGUCUUUAAAACAGUUGCUGAUUAUGUUAUUGAUUUGCCCCCUUUUCUGUAUUUUGUUACAAAAACAAACAAAUUAGGUUCACUUAUAGAUUAAUAACUUCUUGUUGAUCAGUUUCAUUUUUGUUAUGAUGAUUUGUCCAGUGAAGUUCCUUAACAGUCACUUUUUUGACUUAGAAACUUGGGUGUUUGCACAAGUUGAAAAGUGUGCAAUUCUUCAUUAUUAAUUUCAGUUCCGACUCAUUACCCAAUGAACAUAAACGAAGAAGUUCAGUGUGAGUCAAAUUAAGAACACAUAUACUUGAUGUUUGAGCAAAUUAAUUUUUUUUUACACCUAUGCAACACUGAUAUACAAAACCAAAAUCUGAAUGAGAAGGAUAGUAAACAAGAGCUGUUUCAGCACAUGAUUUUGUUGUUCUUGAUCAUUUCUAUACAGCAGAAAACUGGUGUGCCAGAGACAAUCACUCUCUGGAUACCUAUCUAGGAAUCCUUUGUCACAACCUUCAUAACUGCAAUUUAUUUUACAGUGCCAAGCAGUAUUUGAAAAAUAUUUCUGAGUCCUGCAUGACUUUAUUGGUAGUUCAGAUGGCUGUAGCGCCAGACAUUGCAAUGUGUGGUUGACACUGUUUGGGUUGUCACUGGGCAUCUUCUUGGGUACAGACUCCCUUUCCUCCCCCAUCCCAGUGCCAGUGCUAUCCAGAGAGCUGAGGCCCCAAUUCUUCAAAACACUCUGUUAAGAAGUAAGAACACAAAAGCAUAGACUGUGGCCUAUAAAUAGUUUUGUUCAUCUUGCAGUAGAUUGACCUUGUAAUGCAUCCUAGUUUACUCUUAAGCCCAUCUCUGGCAGAAUGCAGUAGUCUCCUGAAGGAUAUUUUAGCUAGGAUAUUUUAAAUUGCUGCUAGCCAACUGGGAGUUUGAAAUAAAAGGGAAAAGAGCAAAGGGUUUUCAUUUUUCAUGAAUCUGAAAGUCUUUCUUUCUGUUGUGCUAGUUGCAGUUGCCAUGGUUUACUUCUCGAUGGGAGCAGGGAUUGCCUUAGUGAUGUCAUCAGGAAAAGUGAGUGGCAGACUGAUUGCAAGUGUGUGUUGGGACAGCAGGUCAGGAAAAAAGUAACACCAUCAUCACAAGAUACAGGUAGACAGAUUUUCUCCUGAAGAACAGUUAGAUUAAUAGGAUGUGCAUGUUUUGAAGCUGCCAACAAGAAAACAGGAGUUGUUUUCCAGAAGAAGGCUGCUGGCUCUGUUAUGGCUCCACCAUCCAGCAGUUUCACCAGUCAAGCUUGUUUACAUUCCUGCCUGUGUCCUCCAUUCCCUCCCAGUGAAAGUUUGACACUCCCAAUUAGGCCACUAAAAACAAGUGUCAGGUGGAGCCAUCGCCUGAAUCCCUGUGAGGAUCUGACUUAAAAACAACAGUCAAGAAAAAGGCCAUGUUCCCCUCUAUGGUUUCAGGGAUCUGUUGACAGGGCAGUCUCAGAUAUAGGCACAGGAUUGUUGCUGAAGGAGCACUGUGCUGGAGUACGAAGUAUGGAAACCCAGGGACCAGGACCAAAUUAUGACAGGAGUUCCUUAAGGCCAAAAUGUCUUCAAUACCAUGCUGAUUACAGACAUGCUACUUGAGUGCUAGACUAGACAUUAAUGCCAGCAAAGAAUUGGAAACAAACUUGUGAGAUUCUUUCUGUCCAAUAUUAUCAGCAUGAUCUCCAAGGAUUUUCACUGCCAAGAUGCUGAAAUGUACAGAGUGAUGAAAGAAGAAGAUCAGAGAUAAGAGAUCAGACAAAGUCAGUGGGCUUGUGUGUGAUACCGUAUGUGGGAAGAAACCUGAGUCGAUGAUCAGCUGACCGUAGAUGUUGUGUCUGGUACACAGCAAUCAUAUAAUAUUGUCUCUUUCAGUUUCAGCUGCACCUGUUUUACUCAUGCUGUUGUUUGGGUUACUAAAUAAAUCCUUCAGUAGCCAGUGCAGAACAGCUGAGUUUUUCUUCUUGGUUUUAGGAAAGCAUUUUCCAACACUAACAGCAAAAUAUUCUAAGUAAAAAAAACCACUUACUGAUGACUCUUUCUAGCUGUACAACAAAUUCUCAUUUGGCUCUUAAUGCCCUACUGUGUGGACAUUGUUUAAAUUGUCAAUUUAUAAAGUCAAAAUUUGCCAAUGUACCUUUUUCAAUAGACAUUUUUUAAGCUUCUCCCUUAGGAUAAUUCAAGGACAGUAUUCUAGGCUUCUCAAAAUAUGUGUAUUUAAUUAUUACUUUCAGCAGCAUAAAUUCCAGUGUUUAAUACUGAGCUCAUAAAAUCAGAUGCAGCCACUUAGUAAUAAAAUUUAUCUUCAAAGGACUUUGAGUUAAGAACCACCACAUGCUGCUUUUAAGUUUUGUAUCUACAAAUACAAUAAAUUGUGGAUUUUUAGAAAAAGAGUAACUGGCAUUUUAAGAGGAGCAAAUGCAGACAUGAGAAAGUGCUGUGCACAUUUGUUCAUUUAAAAAGCUUUUUUUUCAUUUUGUAUAUUUCCAGAUACUCUCAUUUUCUUAUCUCCAGGAGAGUUCAAAUUAAUGUAGUUCCUGAAAUCUUUGAAUUGUAAUAGCAUCUUCCUCCUUGUUUCUGAGUGAAAUUCUUCAGCAGCAAGGAUCUCUACUGGUUAUUUUAAUAUUACAAUUACAGUACUGAAAUCAUAAGGACAAAAUUGUCAGUUAAGGUGCUGUUUGUAAUUGAGAUGUCUUUUCAUUUCUGCACAGGGGUCCUGUUCAACCAGCAUUCCUAGGAAAAAUAUGCAGUUUCCUUGAAAGAAGUUUAUUAUGCAUUUUCUUGAAAGAUGUUAAAAAUGAGUCAUAUGAAACCUUUACCAAAACUGUCCUUAGUAUUUUGGCAAAAUUUAAAACAUUUAUUGCAGUGAAUUUUUGACAAGUUCAGCUUUCAAAAGUCUUUACUUCACGUCGUAAUGUAACAAAUGCUUCACUAUCUGUUCCUUGUAACAUAUAAAAAUACUCAUCAACUGAUUAAAAAAUACAUCAAGCCAGAUGGCGCAAAGAAAAUGUUUCCAGAGAGUUGUAAUUUACAAGAUAAAUAGUGAUUAGAGCAGCAUUCAUGUUGUCUAAAUAGAGAGUACUUGUGUGUGUUCAGAGUGUGUGUAGAAUAAAUGUUGAAUACUCUUGGUACGUUUACACCCUCUCGUUAUGACCAAAGACCAUGCAGAGAGAAUCAAAUAAUGAGUAGUAAUUUCAGAACUGUAAAUAUGAGGCAAACAGAGCUAUAGGGUCAGUGAAGAAGAAGAGAACAGAUUCUAGGAACUAGUAGUCACAUUAACUCAGAAAAGGUGUGUGAGCAGUGGGGGAAAUGGAGUAAAAAUCUAGAAGCAUUUGAUAGUGGCCGUCUCUGAGCCUCUGUAAUAAUUGCAAGGGAGAUAAAGCUGCAUUUCCAAGUUACCUUGCUCCUGAGGAAUCAGCCAAGUGCAUUGCACUCUCCGUGUUGCUCCUGGCAGAGGUGGCACACUCUGCUUAUGUGGGGUGAUUUGUACUCCUGAUGGCAGACAGGAGGUUGUGAUCACAGGGAAUGCCAGAAGGUUUUUAACUCUGGCACAGAUGUCAAUACCUUCCAUAGAACCUUCUACCCAGGGAGCAAAAAACUCUGAUAAACAUUUGUAGAUUAAAUAUACCAAUGUUUCUGGAAGCACGUGAAAUUAGUUUGCUGAAAACAUGGAAGUAUAUGAUCCAAGUAAAGUCCUAGGGAGAACCCUGUCUCACCCUCUUGCUGUGAACUGCCUUGUAUGGUUGGCGUGACAAUGGGAGAAAAUUUCAGAAGGUGAUUUUUGGAGGAGAUAUAUUUGCCCUCAGCCGGGGAAGUUCAGAAGUGAGACUCAGCAUCCACGGCACUGGCACGUUUCUGUGUUGACCUGUAAUCCAGUUGCCUCUGCUGACUGCAAGGCAGAGAGCUUCAGAAUAUUGUCCUGUGAACUGAUCCCCAAAGGACUAAAACAAAUCAAACAUGGAUUGAUAUUUUGGGGCGUUAAUUCUGCACUGGAUCAUAUCUGUGAAAAAACUUCUAUCUUCUGUACUGUAAAAUGAUAUUAUUGUUAUAUGUAUUGUUAUAUAUUGUUAUGUUAUUGUAUGUGGUGGCUUUUUAAGCGAUUUCACUGGCAAGCACUUCACCAUCUAUGCAAGUAUAUAAAUCUCCUGCAAAAGUGCUGCUAUUCAAACAGAAAUCUCUUCACAGGGAAUCUCGAAAGACUUUUUAAAGUGAAUAUAUACUGCAGAGCACAUUCCUAAUUAAAAUUGGCAUGAUAAUUUGAAUGGUUGGGACAAAGGUUGUUUAGGACGUUAACCACAUAAUAGAGAUUGAUGAGCAUUUUAGCACUGUUUCUAAGGUUAGCCAGUUAUUAAAAAUUUAUUGUUGUCCAGUCGAAUAAGUACAUUUUCAUAAGUCUUGAUUACAUUUAAGUGUUCAUUAAUGAACUACAAAUGUGUAAGGACUCCUGCUAUGUACUAAUAUAGCACCAGACAUAAGGCUACAUGUAUAGAACUAAGUAAAGAUCACAGAACACAGAAUAUUCUGUGUUGGAAGAGAUCCACAAGGAUCAUGAAGUGGAUGGCUCAUAUGGAGAUCAACCCCACAACUUUGGCAUUAUUAGCACCAUGCUCUAACCAGCUGAGCUCACCUCAGUGUUGAGAAGUACAAUAUUUAACGAUGAGACACAGAGCAAGGUGAUUCUAGAAUGUCUCCUGUCUUUAGAAGCAGUGUUUGUAGCUAUCACAGUGAAUUCAAACAGAGCAGAAACCUGACUAGUAGUCAGGGAUUGUCAGAGAACUCAGGAAAAAAAAAAAUUGCCAUCUGCCUUGCACCUCCAUAGAAUGCUCAUGUUUCUGCCUUUUAGUGUAUUUUUUCUCUCCCUGAAGGCUGGAUUGAGGAAGAAGAUGGGGAAUUUGAAUCUUCACUGUUGAAGGCAAAGAAAGGUAAAACAACACCAGAAAUACAUGACAGAGCUGGAAAGGUUACAGGACUCUUUUUCAGGGGAUGCUGGUAUGGGGAAGGAGAACUCCCUAUCCAGAAGCCUCACUGGUUGCAGAGUGAACUGGCAGCUUGAUGCAUUUCCCUGCAUGCCCAGACAUGCAGCAGCUCACGUGUCAGUGAGCCUGACAAAAACAAUGUUGAAAAACUUGGCAAGAGAAUGGUUCCCCAAAACUCUUUUCUGUAUCUGGAAGGAAAAGGAAAGGAAGUGUGAAAAAGCACUUGCAUCACUUGUUCGGUUUGGUGCACUGAUGUCUCACUGAGAGCCACUUACUUCUGCAUUAUUGUAUUUCUUUUUUUCUAAAGGUACGAAGUUCUUACAAAUGUCACGUUAUUUUGGCCUGAAGAAGCUUUCCUUUCCUCUUGAAUCUACUGACAUUAAAACUCCAAGCCAGAACAAUCUGUCUGCCUCAGAGCCUCAGGCUUAUAGCAGUAGCAGUGUGUGGCGGGUGACCCUCAGAUCACAUUCCUGUGUGGCUUCAGAACUGGCUGCACAACACAGCCUCCCAAAAAACUGCCUCCCACAGCUCCUGGGGGCAGUGGGAUGCUCACAGCAAUAAACUAUGUCAGUGAAACCAGAAUGAGACCUUCAUGGCUCAAAGGACUUCCCCAGGGAGAAGAGAGGGAAAAGGAUUAGCAGCUAAAUUAUCACUGGUUGCAAAUUAAGAUGGAAGUUGGGAACAAAAUCUUAGUGGAGAAACUCAGCUGAUAACUGGUAAUAAAAAUACAUCCAGCAGCCUAGAAAGGUGGCCCUGGUGGUGGUGCAGGAACCUCUAAACAACAGGGAUGUGUCUGUGAGGGAGGCCCUUGGCUGCAGCAGAGGAACUAAAAGUGCUGCACAGUGUAUCAGUGUUUUCACCUGCAUAGACAGUAUAUGAGACCUCUGCCUCGUUUCCACCUUUGCAAGAAAAAAAUAUAUAUCUCUUUCUUCUUUUGCUGGGGUACAACAAAUGACAUCUAUGCAUUCCAUAUUUAACACAGAAUAUGUCACACUGAUGAGUCAGCCAUCUGCAUCAAGGUGUCCUACUUUGGUAUGUUUGGCCUUUUCUCACUAAGUGUUUUCUCUAAUAUUUACUUAGGUACCAGCUUAAUUCUCUUUGCCAAGGGAUAAAACAGUGGCUUUAAUUAACAGCUAUUUACCACACAGUUAAGCCCUUUAGAAAGAAAAUUUUAAAAAACCUCAACCCAAGGAACAAAUGCAGAAGAGAACAAAUGCAUGAGCAGAAGACACAAGGUUUUAUUGGCCUUAAUGCUAAAAACGCAUCUGUGGCUGAAACCACAGGUGAUCUCUCACUGCUCAGAGCAGGAGAGCAGGACCAGGUAUGGUGCCAAAGCAAAGAAAGCACUACUUAUUCUGGAAGCAUGGUCCCACUGAAACAUAGCUCUGCAAAAAACCCCCAAAACUAAACAAUCCCAAAACCAAAUUAGGACUUUCCCUUUUCCUUAAAUCAAAUGUGAUCGGUUUCCCUCACUGCAAAAUCAGCCUGGAACUGGAGAACCAUCUUGGCCCUUUACCAUCAGUCGUAAACAUCCUUCAGCCAAAAUCAAAGCAUUACUUACAUCUGCAUGACCCCAAGGUUAUAAAUUUGCCUCAGAUAUGAAUGUCACGUUUAAAUAUGUGUUUGUUCAUCAUUAUUAAUACAAGGCUAAUACAAAGUGCUAAGUGUUUCUGACAUCCUGUUUUGUAACAGGAGCUAUUUCUCUCUUCUGUGCUUUGCAAGGCCAUGUUGCUCUUAGCUAUACUACUGCAUCAGAAGUAAAACUUCAGUAAAUGAUUUUUAUGAAGGUGUGCUUCAAGCUGACACUUCAUUUUGCAGUGACUUCAUUUUGCCAUUAACAGCAGAAAAUAUGGCAUAAAAUAUGAAGGACCAAGACUGUUUAGGGAAGAAUGUGACAUUUUUACAACUUUCCAUUGGCAUGUUUGUUUUGAAAGAUGAUGUUGCACAGAAAUUACUCUAAAAUUUGAAAACACAUAGGCAGAUAAAACUAUUUCAAAGUAGACUUUUUACUGUGGCUCUUUAGCACAGCUGACAAAAAAUAUCAAGGUUCCUAAUUGUGCUUCAUCUGCCGGUUUCCCUUCCAUGGGAAGUAGUCUUUCUUGAUCUGGGCAGCUGGCCAGCUUAGUGUCCAAUAGGUUACUCCAGUUAGGAAUAAAGCAUCUUUGGUGCAGUUUGGUUUAUUUACAAAAAUGUAAGAAGCCCUGCUGCUUUGAAUCCAGGAUAAAUCAAACAGCUGGGGACAGCUUCUUUAACACAGCUCUUUAAGCCAGCACCUGACCCAAGCACCAGUUUGCAAGGCUCCUCCACUGCCAGUUCUCCACAGAGCAAUUCUUCACUUCAUCUCCUCACUGCCAUCAAAUACAUCUCAAAAAUCUGAUGGACCUGGCCCACCAAAGUGGCCAAUGAGUGGUGGCACAGCUGCUCCCCGCCCCAUGUGAGACAGACUGCUUAGACUGCCAUAGCUCAGCGGUGAGGAUUUGGUGGUGGCCAGCCACACUGACAAACUCGGUCAUUAAUGCAAAGUGUACCUUCUCCUAGCAGGCCCAGGGAGACAUUCAGGAGGCUUGGGAGAUAUGAACCAGUGGGUAACUCUCACUAAACAAGAUCAUCCUGCAAGUGUGGCUGCCUGGGUGGCCCCUACUGGCAGAUCAAUAAUUAACCAUAUUGAACAAAGGCUAAUAGGGACACAUGAAACACAUUGUCAACACCUUUUAAACUCAGCCAUACCUAAAGGGACUGAAAAUCCUGCUGCAAAGGCUUUCCAAAAGCUCACACAGUCGAAGAGAUGCUGUUAAAGGGUGCAGUUGUGUUUGGGUGUUUGUGGUGGGUUGGCCUUGGCCGGAGAGCAGGUGCCUGCCAAGGCCACUCUGUAACUUCCCUCCUCAACAGGGCAGAUCAUAAAAGGCUCAUGGGUUGGGAUAAGGACAGGGAGAGGUGACUUACCAGGUACCACCACGAAUGAAACACACUUGACUUCAGGUGUUAAUUUAAUUUACUGCCAAUUAAAUCAGUGUAGAUUAAUGAGAAGAAUGAAUCUUAAAAACACCUUCUCCUUUGGGGCACGAGGAGAACAUGGCCCUCUCUUUUCCCUUGCUCAGCUUCAUUCAUGGUUUCCCUACCUCAACUCCCCUUAUGGCACAAGGGUACAGUGAACUGAGGAUGCAAUCAGUUCAUCACAUAUUGUCCUUGCUGCUCCUUCCUCCUGGGGAGGACUCCUCACACUUCUCCACUGCUCCUGUGUGGGGCUCCUUCUAGUCCCCCAUGGACUUCUGUGAGGGUUGGUCCAAAGACCCUUCGUUUGCCUCCCAGUCACCACAGGAUAAGGGGGGAAAGAGGGCUGAGACCACAGCCAGAGUCCUGCAGGAGUGCUCACUAGCUCGUGGGAAGGACAAUGGACCCGUCACGGGUGCCUGGGCUGUGUUUGCUGCUGGCCGAACUAGCUGUGCUGUACCUGUACCUGUAUCCCCAACAGAGCAAGGAGACUUCACUGCUCACGAGAUCUACCACCCCUCCUGGCAAGCUGCCCCUUGCCUUGAAAAGGACGAUAAGAAGCCCCCACAACUUUACCACCUCUGAGGCCUCCCCGACGGAGAAGAUAAGAUCUAUUUGCCCGUGCCAUGAGGACUUUGUAGGUGGUCUAUUGGCUCGGCAUCACAAGGACUUGUGUCUUCUGUUUGUGACUGUAACCCCCUCUUUCUCUCUUUUCUCUUCUCUUCUCUUUCUCUCUUUCUCUCCUUUUUCCUCUAUCGCACAUUGAUUGUGGGUAUCAGUAAAAGAUACAUUGAGUUUUGGUUAAAACUGAGUUCUCUUUGCUGCUUUUUGCACUUUGAAAUCAAAACGAACCAUCACGACCAUUAAACGGAUCAUGAAAACUUCUCCAAGCACAGCAGCUGGAGAGUGAAUUUUCCUGCACCUGUGGUUCCACCUUUUACCUCAUCUGCUCCAGCUGGUGGCUGCCAAGCGAGAGGAGUAUCCUCAAACAAUCUGCUCCUGCAUCCCCACAGGGUAAUUUGUAUCAACAAGCUGAUCUGAUGGAAAGCUAAUCCACAAGAGCAAAACACCAAUUUUCAUGAAAUCAGCAGACUUGCACAGAAGUAUGAAGAAAAAGAAUCCCUAACUUCAUGGCUAUGAACUAUAGAAGAGUUAUUUACAACAGAGGUGGAUGCAAACUGGGUUCUUAAGAUCCAGCCUUGCAGAGGAUACUCCUACUGCUCCUAGCUUCUUAUGCUAGAGAAGAACAUGAACCAAAUAUAAAUCAACAUUCAGGAGAUGUUGAUUUUGGAAUACAACAGAAUAUACUACACAAGAAUUUCAUAGAUAACUUAUUCUGCUGGACAGCUGGAUAUUCCUUGCAGGUUAAGGAGCUCCAAUUUCACCGAAGGGCAUGAAACAUGAAACUACAGCUACAUAUUAGAGAACAUGUGACAUUCCUACUAACUGCAAGAGCCAAGAACAGGCUGAUCCAGGAACCGACUGGAUCCAAGUAUGGAAAUGACCAGUCUCAAAACAUGCUAAGGAUAACCUAAGGAACAUGGCCCAGCUUUUACUUUAAACUAUGUGUGAUCUUGGUUUUGUCAAUGAAUUUCUCAACAUGGUCUUCACUAGAACCUUUCAACCACACACACACAUUUAAAUUUUGGAUUAAUGAGUUAAUAACUAUCAAUACUUAUUGAUUGUUAUUAAGACUAGAUGGGACUGGAGCUGACUGAAGAAGCACCCCAUGGUAAUUCAGCUGAUCACAGAAUAAACUGACAGAUAAAAGAACUAGCACAAAAUAACACUAAAAACAAAACUCUUCAACAUUACACUACAACAAGCCUUAAGUUAGCCAACAUCAUUCCAACACUUACUGUGGACUGCUGAAAGAAGAAAAGAGAAUUUAAGGAACACUCAGCACAGUAGGGGGACAAAACUGAAAAGAAAUGUCCUUUCAUAAAUCUUUGGUGGGCUAACGUCUGAACAGUACACUUCAUCUCAUCCUAAAGGACAUUACAGAAGUAGAGACUACAUAGAAGAAUGGCAAGGCCAGUCAGAGACACAGAAUAGUUUCAUACAAGAAACAAACAUGAUUCUUGAGUUUGGAAAGAAGGUGACAGUGCAAUGACUGAAUCUGUAUUUUUAACUGGCUCUCUGGAAGAGUUGUAAUUGGAAUGAUCUGCUACUUCUCACAUCCUUUAAAGUGGAAGGCUUUCUACACUGUUAGAAACACUGUCUCAAAUCGCAGAAAUAAGAUAUAUAAAUGGCACCAUAAGCCUGUCUUUUUUUUUUCCUACUGACAGUAAAGAAUGUAAUUCAGUUUCAAGAAACUAGCUAGAAAACCCACUACAAAUGCAAUUACCAAUGAUUUGAAACACAGAAAGCUGAA